GCGCCCUUAGCUCAGCUGGACAGAGCAUUGGACUUCUAAUCCAACGGUCGCAGGUUCGAAUCCUGCAGGGCGCGC
rnacentral:tRNA from 1 species